UUAAGCGACUAAGCGUACACGGUGGAUGCCCUGGCAGUCAGAGGCGAUGAAGGACGUGCUAAUCUGCGAAAAGCGUCGGUAAGGUGAUAUGAACCGUUACAGCCGGCGAUGUCCGAAUGGGGAAACCCAGUGCAAUUCGUUGCACUAUCGUUAACUGAAUACAUAGGUUAACGAGGCGAACCGGGGGAACUGAAACAUCUAAGUACCCCGAGGAAAAGAAAUCAACCGAGAUUCCCCCAGUAGCGGCGAGCGAACGGGGAGCAGCCCGGAGUCUGAAUCAGCUUGUGUGUUAGUGGAAGCGUCUGGAAAGUCGCAGGGUACAGGGUGAUACUCCCGUACACUAAAACACACAGGCUGUGAACUCGAAGAGUAGGGCGGGACACGUGGUAUCCUGUCUGAAUAUGGGGGGACCAUCCUCCAAGGCUAAAUACUCCUGACUGACCGAUAGUGAACCAGUACCGUGAGGGAAAGGCGAAAAGAACCCCGGCGAGGGGAGUGAAAAAGAACCUGAAACCGUGUACGUACAAGCAGUAGGAGCCCACUAGUUGGGUGACUGCGUACCUUUUGUAUAAUGGGUCAGCGACUUAUAUUCUGUAGCAAGGUUAACCGUAUAGGGGAGCCGCAGGGAAACCGAGUCUUAACUGGGCGUUAAGUUGCAGGGUAUAGACCCGAAACCCGGUGAUCUAGCCAUGGGCAGGUUGAAGGUUGGGUAACACUAACUGGAGGACCGAACCGACUAAUGUUGAAAAAUUAGCGGAUGACUUGUGGCUGGGGGUGAAAGGCCAAUCAAACCGGGAGAUAGCUGGUUCUCCCCGAAAGCUAUUUAGGUAGCGCCUCGUGAAUUCAUCUUCGGGGGUAGAGCACUGUUUCGGCUAGGGGGUCAUCCCGACUUACCAACCCGAUGCAAACUACGAAUACCGAAGAAUGUUAUCACGGGAGACACACGGCGGGUGCUAACGUCCGUCGUGAAGAGGGAAACAACCCAGACCGCCAGCUAAGGUCCCAAAGUCAUGGUUAAGUGGGAAACGAUGUGGGAAGGCCCAGACAGCCAGGAUGUUGGCUUAGAAGCAGCCAUCAUUUAAAGAAAGCGUAAUAGCUCACUGGUCGAGUCGGCCUGCGCGGAAGAUGUAACGGGGCUAAACCAUGCACCGAAGCUGCGGCAGCGACACUAUGUGUUGUUGGGUAGGGGAGCGUUCUGUAAGCCGUUGAAGGUGGCCUGUGAGGGUUGCUGGAGGUAUCAGAAGUGCGAAUGCUGACAUAAGUAACGAUAAUGCGGGUGAAAAACCCGCACGCCGGAAGACCAAGGGUUCCUGUCCAACGUUAAUCGGGGCAGGGUGAGUCGACCCCUAAGGCGAGGCCGAAAGGCGUAGUCGAUGGGAAACAGGUUAAUAUUCCUGUACUUGGUGUUACUGCGAAGGGGGGACGGAGAAGGCUAUGUUGGCCGGGCGACGGUUGUCCCGGUUUAAGCAUGUAGGCGGAUGUUCCAGGUAAAUCCGGAACGUCACUAACGCUGAGGUGUGAUGACGAGGCACUACGGUGCUGAAGUGACAAAUGCCCUGCUUCCAGGAAAAGCCUCUAAGCAUCAGGUAACAUCAAAUCGUACCCCAAACCGACACAGGUGGUCAGGUAGAGAAUACCAAGGCGCUUGAGAGAACUCGGGUGAAGGAACUAGGCAAAAUGGUGCCGUAACUUCGGGAGAAGGCACGCUGAUGGUAAGUGAAGCGACUUGCUCGUGGAGCUGAAAUCAGUCGAAGAUACCAGCUGGCUGCAACUGUUUAUUAAAAACACAGCACUGUGCAAACACGAAAGUGGACGUAUACGGUGUGACGCCUGCCCGGUGCCGGAAGGUUAAUUGAUGGGGUUAUCCUCACGGAGAAGCUCUUGAUCGAAGCCCCGGUAAACGGCGGCCGUAACUAUAACGGUCCUAAGGUAGCGAAAUUCCUUGUCGGGUAAGUUCCGACCUGCACGAAUGGCGUAAUGAUGGCCAGGCUGUCUCCACCCGAGACUCAGUGAAAUUGAACUCGCUGUGAAGAUGCAGUGUACCCGCGGCAAGACGGAAAGACCCCGUGAACCUUUACUAUAGCUUGACACUGAACACUGGUCCUUGAUGUGUAGGAUAGGUGGGAGGCUUUGAAGUGUGGACGCCAGUCUGCAUGGAGCCGUCCUUGAAAUACCACCCUUUAAUGGCUGGUGUUCUAACGUGGGCCCGUGAUCCGGGUUGCGGACAGUGUCUGGUGGGUAGUUUGACUGGGGCGGUCUCCUCCUAAAGAGUAACGGAGGAGCACGAAGGUCAGCUAAUCCUGGUCGGACAUCAGGAGGUUAGUGCAAUGGCAUAAGCUGGCUUGACUGCGAGCGUGACGGCGCGAGCAGGUGCGAAAGCAGGUCAUAGUGAUCCGGUGGUUCUGAAUGGAAGGGCCAUCGCUCAACGGAUAAAAGGUACUCCGGGGAUAACAGGCUGAUACCGCCCAAGAGUUCAUAUCGACGGCGGUGUUUGGCACCUCGAUGUCGGCUCAUCACAUCCUGGGGCUGAAGUAGGUCCCAAGGGUAUGGCUGUUCGCCAUUUAAAGUGGUACGCGAGCUGGGUUUAGAACGUCGUGAGACAGUUCGGUCCCUAUCUGCCGUGGGCGCUGGAGAAUUGAGGGGGGCUGCUCCUAGUACGAGAGGACCGGAGUGGACGCAUCACUGGUGUUCGGGUUGUCAUGCCAAUGGCAUUGCCCGGUAGCUAAAUGCGGAAGAGAUAAGUGCUGAAAGCAUCUAAGCACGAAACUUGCCCCGAGAUGAGUUCUCCCUGACCCUUUAAGGGUCCUGAAGGAACGUUGAAGACGACGACGUUGAUAGGCCGGGUGUGUAAGCGCAGCGAUGCGUUGAGCUAACCGGUACUAAUGAACCGUGAGGCUUAACCUU
rnacentral:rRNA from 1 species